ACGGCACCUCCAAUCAUCCUUCCUUCCUGACGGACCAACCCCUUCUUCAUUCGUGGCUCAGGUCCAGGGAACCUGGAAACCAACGAGGAUCUGUACUGAGAAGAAAUGUCCUAGAAGAUCUUCUGCGUGGUCUCAAGUUAGCUUCGGACAUCAAUAUUUCAGAGGGAAUAAUGUGUUUUUACGUGGUAAAGUAAGAUAACAGGUACCCAGGAUUCCCUGCUAUGAACCGAAGGUUUGUUGUCUUUCUGUAUCUAAUAACAUUCGCGGAGUGAGGACCACUCUCUGCCACUGGGAACACAAGAUGUUUCUUUGGGUUUUGUUAUCUUUCUUUUUUUAAAAAAUGUUGCAACAUAA